AACGAACGCUGGCGGCAGGCUUAACACAUGCAAGUCGAGCGCCCCGCAAGGGGAGCGGCAGACGGGUGAGUAACGCGUGGGAAUCGACCCAUCUCUACGGAAUAACGCAUGGAAACGUGUGCUAAUACCGUAUACGUCCUUCGGGAGAAAGAUUUAUCGGAGAUGGAUGAGCCCGCGUUGGAUAGCUAGUGGGUGGGGUAAAGGCCUACCAAGGCGAUGAUCCAUAGCUGGUCUGAGAGGAUGAUCAGCCACACUGGGACUGAGACACGGACCAGACUCCUACGGGAGGCAGCAGUGGGGAAUAUUGGACAAUGGGGGCAAGCCUGAUCCAGCCAUGCCGCGUGAGUGAUGAAGGCCCUAGGGUUGUAAAGCUCUUUCACCGGUGAAGAUAAUGACGGUAACCGGAGAAGAAGCCCCGGCUAACUUCGUGCCAGCCGCCGCAGUAAUAC
rnacentral:rRNA from 1 species